rnacentral:rRNA from 1 species
UACGGAGGGUGCAAGCGUUGUCCGGAUUUAUUGGGUUUAAAGGGUGCGUAGGCGGUUCGUUAAGUCCGGGGUGAAAGCCCACUGCUCAACAGUGGAACUGCCCUGGAAACUGGCGAACUUGAGUACAGACGAGGGUGGCGGAAUGGAUACUGUAGCGGUGAAAUGCAUAGAUAGUAUCCAGAACCCCGAUUGCGAAGGCAGCUGCCUAGACUGUAACUGACGCUGAGGCACGAAAGCGUGGGGAGCGAACAGG